ensembl:snoRNA
ACCUGUAUGCAGAUCUCCUGCAGUGGGCACUGGCUGAACACACGCUCAAGAUGUGCAAGGCUGCACUAAAUUAGAAAAGACGAGAGUGGACCUCUUUCUUAAUGUUCAGUGUCCUUUGUCUUAAGAUUUGGUGCAAAUAAA